AGGAGGAACAGCCCCAGUGGUGGGGCCAGGUCUGGAAACCUGGAUUCAGCUCCGGCAGGAACUCCGUCUGCAGGGCCUGGAGGCUCCGGGGCGGG
rnacentral:pre_miRNA from 1 species